rnacentral:rRNA from 1 species
CCUACGGGUGGCAGCAGUGAGGAAUAUUGGUCAAUGGGCGAGAGCCUGAACCAGCCAAGUCGCGUGAGGGAUGAAGGAUCUAUGGUUUGUAAACUUCUUUUAUCUGGGAAUAAAGUGAGGAACGUGUGCCUUUUUGUAUGUACCAUAUGAAUAAGCAUCGGCUAACUCCGUGCCAGCAGCCGCGGUAAUACGGAGGAUGCGAGCGUUAUCCGGAUUUAUUGGGUUUAAAGGGUGCGUAGGUGGGUGAGUAAGUCAGCGGUGAAAGUUUGUGGCUCAACCAUGAAAGUGCCGUUGAACCUGGUUGACUUGAGUAUAUUUGAGGUAGGCGGAAUGCGUGGUGUAGCGGUGAAAUGCAUAGAUAUCACGCAGAACUCCGAUUGCGAAGGCAGCUUACUAACCUAUAACUGACGCUGAAGCACGAAAGCGUGGGGAUCAAACAGGAUUAGAUACCCGUGUAGUC